rnacentral:rRNA from 1 species
AACGAACGCUGGCGGCAGGCCUAACACAUGCAAGUCGAACGCCCCGCAAGGGGAGUGGCAGACGGGUGAGUAACACGUGGGAACAUGCCCUUUGGUUCGGAAUAACUCAGGGAAACUUGAGCUAAUACCGGAUAAGUCCGCGAGGAGAAAGAUUUAUCGCCGAAGGAUUGGCCCGCGUCUGAUUAGCUUGUUGGUGAGGUAAUGGCUCACCAAGGCGACGAUCAGUAGCUGGUCUGAGAGGAUGAUCAGCCACAUUGGGACUGAGACACGGCCCAAACUCCUACGGGAGGCAGCAGUGGGGAAUAUUGGACAAUGGGCGCAAGCCUGAUCCAGCCAUGCCGCGUGAGUGAUGACGGCCUUAGGGUUGUAAAGCUCUUUUGCCCGGGAAGAUAAUGACGGUACCGGGAGAAUAAGCCCCGGCUAACUUCGUGCCAGCCGCCGCAGUAA